rnacentral:rRNA from 1 species
GACGAACGCUGGCGGCGUGCUUAACACAUGCAAGUCGAACGGAAAGGCCCUGCUUUUGUGGGGUGCUCGAGUGGCGAACGGGUGAGUAACACGUGAGUAACCUGCCCUUGACUUUGGGAUAACUUCAGGAAACUGGGGCUAAUAACGGAUAGGAGCUCCUGCUGCAUGGUGGGGGGUGGAAAGUUUCGGCGGUUGGGGCUGGACUCGCGGCUUAUCAGCUUGUUGGUGGGGUAGUGGCUUACCAAGGCUUUGACGGGUAGCCGGCCUGAGCGGGUGACCGGCCACAUUGGGACUGAGGUACGGCCCAGACUCCUACGGGAGGCAGCAGUGGGGAAUCUUGCACAAUGGGCGGAAGCCUGAUGCAGCAACGCCGCGUGCGGGAUGACGGCCUUCGGGUUGUAAACCGCUUUCGCCUGUGACGAAGCGUGAGUGACGGUAAUGGGUAAAGAAGCACCGGCUAACUACGUG